GCCAGGUGUGGUGGCGCACGCCUGUAAUCCCAGCUGCUGGGGAGGCUGAGGCAGGAGGAUUGUGAGUUCAAAGCCAGCCUCGG
rnacentral:sRNA from 1 species